GAGACAGCAGUCGCCGCGGUAAUACGUAGGGUGCGAGCGUUAAUCGGAAUUACUGGGCGUAAAGCGAGCGCAGACGGUUAUUUAAGCAGGAUGUGAAAUCCCCGGGCUUAACCUGGGAACUGCGUUCUGAACUGGAUAGCUAGAGUGUGUCAGAGGGGGGUAGAAUUCCACGUGUAGCAGUGAAAUGCGUAGAGAUGUGGAGGAAUACCGAUGGCGAAGGCAGCCCCCUGGGAUAACACUGACGUUCAUGCUCGAAAGCGUGGGUAGCAAACAGAAUUAGAUACCCCCGUAGUCCCUGUCUCUUAUAC
rnacentral:rRNA from 1 species